AUAGGAUACUCGCUCACCACUGCAUUUCCCCAUUGUGUCAGCGUGAAGCUUUUGACCCUGGAGGUGGAGCCAGACUUUCAAAUUCUUCACUGAAAUCCCAGCAGCUGCAGGACCCUCAUGCACUGGGUUACGAGGCCCCCAGAGAUGGAGUGAUGUGACUAAGGUGGUCUCCACACUUGCUGUAGCAUCUGGAGGGUAACCAGCAACUACUGGGGGGACCCCACGAGUGCUGAGCUGCGCUGGGUGAAGGAUUCAUAACACCAGUGACCGUAAGCUGUCAACGGUUAACGAAACUUCUGGGACACCAUGAAAUCCAGGAUGAAGACAGC